CCUACGGGGCGCAGCAGUGAGGAAUAUUGGUCAAUGGACGCAAGUCUGAACCAGCCAUGCCGCGUGCAGGAAGACGGCUCUAUGAGUUGUAACCUGCUUUUGUACGAGGGUAAACGCAGAUACGCGUAUCUGUCUGAAAGUAUCGUACGAAUAAGGAUCGGCUAACUCCGUGCCAGCAGCCGCGGUAAUACGGAGGAUUCAAGCGUUAUCCGGAUUUAUUGGGUUUAAAGGGUGCGUAGGCGGUCGGAUAAGUUAGAGGUGAAAUCCCGAGGCUCAACUUCGGAAUUGCCUCUGAUACUGUUCGGCGAGAGAGUAGUUGCGGUAGGCGGAAUGUAUGGUGUAGCGGUGAAAUGCUUAGAGAUCAUACAGAACACCGAUUGCGAAGGCAGCUUACCAAGCUACUUCUGACGUUGAGGCACGAAAGCGUGGGGAGCAAACAGGAUUAGAUACCCCAGUAGUC
rnacentral:rRNA from 1 species